rnacentral:lncRNA from 1 species
ACCAGCAUAUUCACAUAUGAAAGAACCAGCACGAAUGGGAUCCCACGACCGUAAACCCCAACCACGGUUCGCCGUCUUAAACACCUCCAUCCGGAACUUAAGUCCUGUCUGAAUCACUUUGUUUUUGCAACCGGCGUUACACGGACAGGUUGAACCACAUUCAUAUACCAUUGGCCUCCUGGAAACAAGCAUAACGCCGUUAAGGUAAGGAAGAUCGCCACCGUUCAUUCUGAUGCAAGAGCAGUUUAGAUCUCCCGGCGCACACGAGCCACGGCAGGAGCAACCAGUUGCUGUGUUCUGCUGGGUUAUUCUAAAGGCUUCAGAGUGUUUGAGAGUGGAGAUGUAAGUAAAAUAAGAAGGCCCCUUCUCAUCAUCAAAGUCAUUCACAAGGGAAACAGGUUUGCUCUCAACACCUGAAGUGAUAUCCGGAAGUAUAAGUCCUCUUCUUGGAGUCAUCAAACCUUCUUUCCACUUAUGAACAGCUUUCCAGAACCCAAAAGCAGGUGGCUGACCUGGCACUCUCACCAAUCUAUACUUAAACGUGUUGCAGCCAGACUUGCCUUUCUCCACCCAUGACUCCGAGAUUGUAUAAAGCCCAUCGUAAAUAUAGAUCUUCCCCGUUUUACUAGCUGGAUCCUCUUCUCCUCUGAUAACUCUAACUCCAUUCCCUUUCCUCAAGCUUCUCUCUAACGCAAGAUUCCCUCUCUCAAGCUUCUGAUCAGACGCUUGUUUGUUCUUGUCUGCAUUCCCUCCUUGUCCGCUGUAGAUUAAAGACUCAGGAUCCUGGGCCUCGCCGUCAUAGCGUCCGGCUGAAACAAUGCUGGUAGCUAGAGGCUCCUCAUCUGCACCUGCUGCUUUGCUCGUUAUGUAGUCAAUGCCGGCCAUUGUCUGCAUGUGGAGACCCACUAAGCACAUCUCUAUCCGUGAAAAGAAGAUAUCUCCAACUUCGAUUCCUGGAACCGUUCCAACUCUCUUUUUCAUGUUUGUCCUCACCCCGUUGCUCAUCAAAGAGCCUGCUGCUUUAGCGGUCGCGGCCUUUGCGUACUCCACUUGACUGAGACGCCUCCUAACAGCAUCAAAACGCAUCAGCACGGUGCUUACUAAGUCCACAUUGCCGUCUUCUCGCUCUGCUGCACUGAUCCCGCUGUCGAAAACUCCACUGAAACGCUUCACAACCUGAACAUCCAAAGUAGGCUCUUGGGGGACUGUCUUGUCUUUUUUCUUGGCGUUGCCGCUUCCCUUAGGACGACCUCUUUUAGCUCCGGUUGAGCUGCUAGGGCCGUUUGAUGCAGUGGUAGUGGGAGAUCUGUAUGAUUGAAGAGGUGGAACAAACGAUGGAGGAGGUGUGUACUGAGUCUGGUUGAGAUCUGGAGUGUCUUGUGUAGGUGGUUGUGAUCCAAAUGGGAAGAAAGGUGAGUAGCCUGUAGAAGAAGGGCCAAAAGGUGGAACUCCAACAAAGGGUGGACCUUGAUUGCCAUUUGGAAAAACAGGUUUUAGACUUCUCAGUGGUUUAACAUCUAGCACUAUAGACUUGUCAUAAUGGUUAGGAUUUGGAACUCCUUCCAUUGCUAAAACUCCUGUCAAAAAUGAGACCAACAUUUGGGUUAAAGAGCAUUGACAAAGCUUAGAUUAUUAUUAGCAUAUGAAUAAAGUAUGAUGAAAUAAAUAUCACAGCAUUUUACUGCAUAGCCCCUCUAGAACAACACCUUGCAGUGACCUUGUGGGUUAUAUAUACUCUUUGCAGUACUAAAAGCAGAAAAAAAAAAGUUAUAAGGAAAUGCAAAAGAAUCCAUUUAAGAGCAACCUUAGGUUCAAUAAAAGUCCCUAGAAGAAUCGAAAACCCAAAAAAAUGCAAACUUUGCUAUAUUUUGUAGACCGAGCAGCUAUGGUUCAUGAACCGAGCUACAUUUCCAAAACUCUUAGCACUGAUCAGGAGCGGUGCUGGGAGAUUAAACUCCUCAGAGAGUUCAUCUGAAGGAUCCUCAUCUACUAACGCAGGCUCAUAGUUCCAUUUAAACGAGUUAUAAACACGCGAUGUGUCAAAGACAUACUCAUCCUCUUCUUGGUCCAUUCUAAGUGUUUCUUGGUCUUUGACCUCACCAGCAUAUUCACAUAUGAAAGAACCAGCACGAAUGGGAUCCCACGACCGUAAACCCCAACCACGGUUCGCCGUCUUAAACACCUCCAUCCGGAACUUAAGUCCUGUCUGAAUCACUUUGUUUUUGCAACCGGCGUUACACGGACAGGUUGAACCACAUUCAUAUACCAUUGGCCUCCUGGAAACAAGCAUAACGCCGUUAAGGUAAGGAAGAUCGCCACCGUUCAUUCUGAUGCAAGAGCAGUUUAGAUCUCCCGGCGCACACGAGCCACGGCAGGAGCAACCAGUUGCUGUGUUCUGCUGGGUUAUUCUAAAGGCUUCAGAGUGUUUGAGAGUGGAGAUGUAAGUAAAAU